rnacentral:rRNA from 1 species
ACGAACGCUGGCGGCGUGCUUAACACAUGCACGUCGAACGGAAAGGCCCUGCUUUUGUGGGGUGCUCGAGUGGCGAACGGGUGAGUAACCCGUGGGUAACCUGCCCUUGACUUUGGGUAAACUUCAGGAAACGGGGGCUAAAACCGGAAAGGGGCCCCUGCGGCUGGGGGGGGGUGGGAAGGUUUCGGCGGUUGGGGAUGGACUCGCGGCUUAUCAGCUUGUUGGUGGGGUAGUGGCUUACCAAGGCUUUGACGGGUAGCCGGCCUGAGAGGGUGACCGGCCACAUUGGGACUGAGAUACGGCCCAGACUCCUACGGGAGGCAGCAGUGGGGAAUAUUGCACAAUGGGCGGAAGCCUGAUGCAGCAACGCCGCGUGCGGGAUGACGGCCUUCGGGUUGUAAACCGCUUUCGCCUGUGACGAAGCGUGAGUGACGGUAAUGGGUAAAGAAGCACCGGCUAACUACGUG